rnacentral:piRNA from 1 species
AGAACUCUAAACUUAGACUGUUAAAUAG